rnacentral:lncRNA from 1 species
GUGUGUGCAUUCAAUAUUUAUAUAUUUUAUAUAAGUAUUUUGUUUCUUGUAUUUAAUGGCUAAUUUUGUGUUAAAUUCUUUGUCAAUUUAGAUCCAGUUGGUACAGAAUGUAAAUGAGGCACAGUGUGCUAUAAUGGAGGCAUCUGACUUAUUAAGUUUGCUGGGGUCUCUAUGGCACAUCCGGACGCUAGAGGACAGAGACAACUUAGUGGAAUCAACUACCAAGUUUUUUUUACUGAGAACAAGUUGAGGGAUUCCUUGGAACAGUGAGUAUAAGAAUGUGCAAAUAUUUUCACCUGACAAAUUACCAGUAAUAUUUUGUCAUUGUUUCACAUUGGGUACAUGUUUUGUUUAUCUAGAUUUAAAGAGGGCCUGGAGUGUGGUCCGUGUACUUGUUGGCCAACGGAUUUUCGUUUUAAAAGGAAAAAAAUAAAAACGAAAAACGGCUCAUUUCCCAAUUUCCAUUAGUAAAUAGGAAAACAAAAAACGGAAAACAAUCCAUUUUUCUUUUUUUCUUUUGAUAUUAAAAGACGGAAAACGGAAAACAAUCUCGUUAUCCGAUUGUAUUUAUAGAUGGAAAUCGGAAAUCAAAAUACGUAUGUAUGAACUAUGUCUGCAUUCUGCAUUGGUACUUUUUCGUGAACCGGAAGUUACUCCCGCCCAGAGCUCCCGCCACGCCAAGAAGACCCGCCCUUCACCCAAGGUAAUGUAAAUCACGUAAUUGAUGUCCGAGCUACUGCGACAAUGGAAACAAGUUAUGUUCUCUUUUGAGAAGGCAAACGUGUCACAGUAAGAGAUGAUGACAUGUCUGUUGACAAAAUAUGCAGGAUAUUUCAGGUUGAUGGCAGCAGUCUGUACAUUACAGAUGAUGCAAACACCACAACAUUUCCAGAGCCAUCUGGACGUUUUUGCAUCCUCAAUCUUGUGCAUCGCAGCCAUUAUGAGGUCCACGGGGAUCCAGAUCAUAGUCAGCUUCCUGCAAGCAGAGCCGUACCCACUACUGCUGUUCCUUUUGCCUUCAUGCGCCGCCCCGCACCUGCCGCUUCUGCUUCCACUGAAACACCACGACCUUCCCCUGGAACUACACGAGAUAUAUAUAUAUUGAAUAUGUUAAACAAAUGUUUCUUAUUUAUCUCUCUCCGUCUAGAGUUGAAGCCUACAGCCAUUCUGUCCAUGCAGCAACUGAUGGAAAAGGGGUUCACUUUGGUGCUUGUGAUGUUGUCGCAAAAAUGA